AGAGUUUGAUCCUGGCUCAGAACGAACGCUGGCGGCAUGCCUAACACAUGCAAGUCGAACGGAGGUUCCGCUUCGGUGGGGCCUCAGUGGCGCACGGGUGAGUAACGCGUGGGAACCUGCCCCGUGGUACGGAACAACUCCGGGAAACUGGAGCUAAUACCGUAUGCGUCCCGAGGGACAAAGAUUGAUCGCCACGGGAGGGGCCCGCGUAGGAUUAGCUUGUUGGUGGGGUAACGGCCUACCAAGGCGUCGAUCCUUAGCUGGUCUGAGAGGAUGGCCAGCCACACUGGGACUGAGACACGGCCCAGACUCCUACGGGAGGCAGCAGUGGGGAAUAUUGGACAAUGGGCGCAAGCCUGAUCCAGCAAUGCCGCGUGGGUGAUGAAGGCCUUCGGGUUGUAAAGCCCUUUCGCACGCGACGAUGAUGACGGUAGCGUGAGAAGAAGCCCCGGCUAACUUCGUGCCAGCAGCCGCGGUAAUACGAAGGGGGCGAGCAUUGUUCGGAAUUACUGGGCGUAAAGGGCGCGUAGGCGGUGCACCAAGUCAGGCGUGAAAGCCCCGGGCUCAACCUGGGAACGGCGCUUGAGACUGGUGCGCUCGAGUUCGGGAGAGGACGGCGGAAUUCCCAGUGUAGAGGUGAAAUUCGUAGAUAUUGGGAAGAACACCGACGGCGCAGGCAGCCGUCUGGACCGACACUGACGCUGAGGCGCGAAAGCGUGGGGAGCAAACAGGAUUAGAUACCCCCGUAGUCC
rnacentral:rRNA from 1 species